GACAGAGGUGCCAAGCGUUAGGCGGAAUCACUGGGCUUAAAGCGUGUGUAGGCGGGCGAUCAAGUAUCUUGUGAAAUCCCACGGCUCAACCGUGGAACUGCUGGAUAUACUGCUUGUCUUGAGGCACUUAGGGGCAGCUGGAACAAAUGGUGGAGCGGUGAAAUGCGUAGAUAUCAUUUGGAACGCCAAAGGCGAAAGCAGGCUGCUGGGAGUGAUCUGACACUGAGACGCGAAAGCCAGGGGAGCAAAACGGG
rnacentral:rRNA from 1 species